GACCAUUGCAUUUCAUCAAAUUGUCUUUAGCACUGUUUUAUUUUGUGUUGAUUUCUUAUGUGUUCUCUCAAAUUUAUGUCAACAUAAUAUAAGCUGAAGGUAAAAUCCCCUAAUCAGGGCACAUGACAAAACCCCCCCAAAAUCCGAGAAGUCCAAGAAAGUAAGUGGACUAAGACAUUGCAACCUAUCCAGUGGGCAUGCUCCAGAAGGUGAAGCUUAUGGCUUGGUAAAAAUCUUGGCCCUGAUGACUCAUGUUACAAGUGAUGAAGAAGAGAGUUUGCUAAUAUCUCUGUGUUUCUCUUUUGGUUUUAAAGACAUGGAAGAGGUUCAUACAGCAGAUUCUGAUUAUAUUUAAUUGGCUUGAUCUUGGCAAGCAUAGGGGUCACAGCAUUUUCCUAAGCUCCGGUCCUUUGUGCCAAAGGAAGGGCUGCCACCAAGACUUGCAUGCAUGCCUUGUAAUGGGGAGACAUCCUAUUCUAAAAAAGAGGUGCCUCAAGGACAAAGGAAAAGAUUCACCCAAGAUUGCUCACAUCCUCAGUAUGGAAAUUGAUGAUGUUGUAAAACAAUAACAAGUUCAACCAGAGGGGCUUGUGCUCAGCUACUGUGAGACUCUGAAAACACCAUGAAAUGAUGCAUGGCAACAGCUAUGGUUUGUAUGAGUUUGGAUCCCUAAGAAUUUGUUUGAUGGGAAGCAGAUGAAGGGCUGCUACAAAUACUUGCAACACUGGAAAUCAAGAGAUGACCUAUGCUAAAACUGAGGUGCAGGAAAAACAAAGGAAAAAAAUGGCCUGGAAUUGCUCAGUUCCCCCAUCUGUGGUGAUAGAUGGCAUUGUACAACAGUAAAAAUUUCAAUCAGGAAUAUUCACUUUCAUAUUGGAGAUCCCAUGUCUGAAGUAAAUAUGGUGUUAGCUCUUCAUGUCAUAUUGACAAGAAGAUGAACGAGUACUUGGCAAAAGCAUGGUAACUACUAAUUGACUCCGCUUUUGAGAAACCACAUUGCUAUACAUGGGUUUUCCUUUACAUGAACAAUUGGAUUCAUCUUUUAAAGUACUAUUUGGAACUGGGAAUCCUUCUUGGGAGCCAUAAAAGGUCUUGCAUUCUUGGCACAAAUUUGAAAUUUCAAUCUACAAUGAGGGUAUGGGAUUUCCUAGAAUUGACUGAUACAUGCAUCAAUGGUUGCUAAUGGUAUCCAUCAAGAUUCAAAUACAUGGAAAUUGCUUUGUCUUGUGGUUCAAUUGUGAAGAUAUUGUGUGAUUAGGCAAGACGAUUUCCAAAGUGGCAAUCACAAAG